GGCCGCUUGGCCCAAUGGUAAGGCGUCUGACUACGAGCAUAUAACAGUUCCAAGGAGCAGUUGUAUCCACGAGUAAUCAGGAGAUUCUGGGUUCGAGCCCCAGGGUGGUCA